UGGGGAAUAUUGCACAAUGGGCGCCAGCCUGAUGCAGCCAUGCCGCGUGUAUGAAGAAGGCCUUCGGGUUGUAAAGUACUUUCAGCGGGGCGGAAGGUGUUGAGGUUAAUAACCUCAGCACUUGACGUUACCCGCAGAAGAAGCACCGGCUAACUCCGUGCCAGCAGCCGCGGUAAUACGGAGGGUGCAAGCGUUAAUCGGAAUUACUGGGCGUAAAGCGCACGCAGGCGGUCUGUCAAGUCGGAUGUGAAAUCCCCGGGCUCAACCUGGGAACUGCAUUCGAAACUGGCAGGCUAGAGUCUUGUAGAGGGGGGUAGAAUUCCAGGUGUAGCGGUGAAAUGCGUAGAGAUCUGGAGGAAUACCGGUGGCGAAGGCGGCCCCCUGGACAAAGACUGACGCUCAGGUGCGAAAGCGUGGGGAGCAAACA
rnacentral:rRNA from 1 species